rnacentral:rRNA from 1 species
UACGAAGGGGGCUAGCGUUGCUCGGAAUUACUGGGCGUAAAGGGCGCGUAGGCGGACAGUUUAGUCAGAGGUGAAAGCCCAGGGCUCAACCUUGGAAUUGCCUUUGAUACUGGCUGUCUUGAGUUCGGGAGAGGUGAGUGGAAUGCCGAGUGUAGAAGUGAAAUUCGUAGAUAUUCGGCGGAACACCAGUGGCGAAGGCGACUCACUGGCCCGAUACUGACGCUGAGGCGCGAAAGCGUGGGGAGCAAACAGG